rnacentral:rRNA from 1 species
UACGGAGGAUGCGAGCGUUAUCCGGAUUUAUUGGGUUUAAAGGGUGCGUAGGCGGACUGUCAAGUCAGCGGUAAAAUUGAGAGGCUCAACCUCUUCCCGCCGUUGAAACUGGUGGUCUUGAGUGGAUGAGAGGUACGCGGAAUGCGUGGUGUAGCGGUGAAAUGCAUAGAUAUCACGCAGAACUCCGAUUGCGAAGGCAGCGUACCGGCAUCCAACUGACGCUGAGGCACGAAAGCGUGGGGAUCAAACAGG